rnacentral:rRNA from 1 species
CGAUUCUGGCUCAGGAUGAACGCUAGCUACAGGCUUAACACAUGCAAGUCGAGGGGCAGCAUGAGAUCAGCUUGCUGAUCUUGAUGGCGACCGGCGCACGGGUGAGUAACGCGUAUCCAACUUCCCCUACUCAGGCAUAGCCCGGUGAAAACCGGAUUAACUCCUGAUAGUUUCACUAGAUGGCAUCUGACGGUGAAUAAAGCUCAGCGGUAAGGGAUGGGGAUGCGUCUGAUUAGCUUGUUGGCGGGUAACGGCCCACCAAGGCGACGAUCAGUAGGGGUUCUGAGAGGAAGGUCCCCCACAUUGGAACUGAGACACGGUCCAAACUCCUACGGGAGGCAGCAGUGAGGAAUAUUGGUCAAUGGGCGCGAGCCUGAACCAGCCAAGUAGCCGUGCAGGAAGACGGCCCUAUGGGUUGUAAACUGCUUUUGUGCGGGAAUAAAGUCAGGGACGUGUCCCUGUUUGCAUGUACCGCAAGAAUAAGGACCGGCUAAUUCCGUGCCAGCCGCCGC